rnacentral:rRNA from 1 species
UACGUAGGUGGCAAGCGUUGUUCGGAAUUACUGGGCGUAAAGGGCGCGUAGGCGGUACGACAAGUCAGGAGUGAAAGCCCGGGGCUCAACCCCGGAACUGCUUUUGAAACUGUCGAACUAGAGUGCAGAAGAGGCAACCGGAAUUCCCAGUGUAGCGGUGAAAUGCGUAGAUAUUGGGAAGAACACCUGAGGCGAAGGCGGGUUGCUGGGCUGACACUGACGCUGAGGCGCGAAAGCCAGGGGAGCGAACGGG